rnacentral:rRNA from 1 species
CUGAGCUGUCCGUCUCUAAGCGUUGUGAUUUCAUUAAUCGCUUCGGAGCGCGGGCGGUCGCGGCCGUUAAAUCUUUUAUAAGGUUGACCUCGGAUCAGGUAGGGAUACCCGCUGAACUUAAGCAUAUCAAUAAGCGGAGGAAAUCGAAUUCCCGCGGCCG